GGUGGCUCAAUGGUAGAGCACUUGCCUUGCAUGCAUGAGGCCUGGGUUCGAUUCCUCAGCACCA
rfam:Dipodomys ordii ctg_broad_rename0023139, whole genome shotgun sequence.